rnacentral:rRNA from 1 species
GUCUCAAAGAUUAAGCCAUGCAUGUCUUAAGUAUAAGCAAUAUAUACAGUGAAACUGCGGAAUGGCUCAUUAAAUCAGUUAUCGUUUAUUUGAUAGUACCUUACUACUUGGAUAACCGUGGUAAUUCUAGAGCUAAUACAUGCUAAAAACCUCGACUUCGGAAGGGGUGUAUUUAUUAGAUAAAAAACCAAUGCCCUUCGGGGCUCCUUGGUGAUUCAUAAUAACUUAACGAAUCGCAUGGCCUUGUGCCGGCGAUGGUUCAUUCAAAUUUCUGCCCUAUCAACUUUCGAUGGUACGGUCUUGGCCUACCAUGGUUUCAACGGGUAACGGGGAAUUAGGGUUCUAUUCCGGAGAGGGAGCCUGAGAAACGGCUACCACAUCCAAGGAAGGCAGCAGGCGCGCAAAUUACCCAAUCCCGACACGGGGAGGUAGUGACAAUAAAUACUGAUACAGGGCUCUUUUGGGUCUUGUAAUUGGAAUGAGUACAAUUUAAAUCCCUUAACGAGGAACAAUUGGAGGGCAAGUCUGGUGCCAGCAGCCGCGGUAAUUCCAGCUCCAAUAGCGUAUAUUAAAGUUGUUGCAGUUAAAAAGCUCGUAGUUGAACCUUGGGCCUGGUUGGUCGGUCCGCCUCACCGCGUGCACUGAUCCGAUCGGGCCUUUCCUUCUGGGGAGCCGCAUGCCCUUCACUGGGUGUGUCGGGGAACCAGGACUUUUACUUUGAAAAAAUUAGAGUGUUCAAAGCAGGCCUAUGCUCGAAUACAUUAGCAUGGAAUAAUGAAAUAGGACGUGUGGUUCUAUUUUGUUGGUUUCUAGGACCGCCGUAAUGAUUAAUAGGGAUAGUCGGGGGCAUCAGUAUUCAAUUGUCAGAGGUGAAAUUCUUGGAUUUAUUGAAGACUAACUACUGCGAAAGCAUUUGCCAAGGAUGUUUUCAUUAAUCAGUGAACGAAAGUUAGGGGAUCGAAGACGAUCAGAUACCGUCGUAGUCUUAACCAUAAACUAUGCCGACUAGGGAUCGGGCGAUGUUAUUUUUUUGACUCGCUCGGCACCUUACGAGAAAUCAAAGUCUUUUGGGUUUGGGGGGAGUAUGGUCGCAAGGCUGAAACUUAAAGAAAUUGACCGAAGGGCACCACCCAGAGUGGAGCCUGCGGGCUUAAUUUGACUCAACACGGGGAAACUCACCCAGUCCAGACACAAUAAGGAUUGACAGAUUGAGAGCUCUUUCUUGAUUUUGUGGGUGGUGGUGCAUGGCCGUUCUUAGUUGGUGGAUUGAUUUGUCUGCUUAAUUGCGAUAACGAACGAGACCAACGUCUUUAAAUAGCCAGGCUAGCUUUGGCUGGUCGCCGGCUUCUUAAAGAGACUUUCUGCUCAAGCAGAAGGAAGUAGUUGGCAAUAACAGGUCUGUGAUGCCCUUAGAUGUUCUGGGCCGCACGCGCGCUACACUGACAGAGCCAACGAGUUUCUUCCUUGUCCGAAAGGGCUGGGUAAUCUUGUUAAACUCUGUCGUGCUGGGGAUAGAGCAUUGCAAUUAUUGCUCUUCAACGAGGAAUUCCUAGUAAGCGCAAGUCAUCAGCUUGCGUUGAUUACGUCCCUGCCCUUUGUACACACCGCCCGUCGCUACUACCGAUUGAAUGGCUAAGUGAGGCUUUCAGACUGGCCCAGGGACGGCGGCAACGCCGACCCAGGGCUGGAAAGUUGUCCAAACUUGGUCAUUUAGAGGAAGUAAAAGUCGUAACAAGGUUUCCGUA